GGUCACUGCUAUUGGGAUUCGACUAAGCCAUGCGAGUCGAGAGGGUUCGGCCCUCGGCAGACGGCUCAGUAACACGUGGAUAAUCUGCCCUUAGGCGGAGGAUAAUCUCGGGAAACUGAGGAUAAUACUCCAUAGAUCUAAGAUGCUGGAAUGUACCUAGAUUGAAAGCUCCGGCGCCUAAGGAUGAGUCCGCGGACUAUCAGGUAGUAGUCAGGGUAAUGACCUGACUAGCCUACGACGGAUAUGGGUUGUGAGAGCAAUAACCCAGAGACGAUAUCUGAGACACGAUAUCGGGCCCUACGGGGCGCAGCAGGCGCGAAAACUUCACACUGUGCGAAAGCACGAUGAGGGAAUCCCAAGUGCUGGCUCGUAAGAGUCAGCUGUUUUUCUGUCUAAAAAACAGAGAGAGUAAGAGCUGGGUAAGACGGGUGCCAGCCGCCGCGGUAAUACCUGCAGCUCAAGUGGUGGCCGCUAUUAUUGGGCCUAAAGCGUCCGUAGCCGGUUUAGUAAAUGCCUGGGUAAAUCGUGUAGCUUAACUAUACGAAUUCCGGGUAGACUGCUAAACUUGGGACCGGGAGAGGCUAGAGGUACUUCUGGGGUAGAGGUGAAAUUCUGUAAUCCUAGGGGGACCACCAGUGGCGAAGGCGUCUAGCUAGAACGGGUCUGACGGUGAGGGACGAAGCCCUGGGGCGCAAACCGGAUUAGAUACCCGGGUAGUCCAGGGUGUAAACGCUGUUCGCUUGAUGUUAGUUGGGCUCCGAGCCCAACUAGUGUCGGAGAGAAGUUGUUAAGCGAACUGCCUGGGAAGUACGGUCGCAAGACUGAAACUUAAAGGAAUUGGCGGGGGAGCACAGCAACGGGUGGAGCGUGCGGUUU
rnacentral:rRNA from 1 species